AAAAUAUAAGCAGAACAAGUUUUGAAGGGAGAAGUAAUUUCUCUUUUUUUUUUUUUUUUUUUUUAACCAACUGACACAGUUGAAAACAGCAAGCUUUUGGGCUCAAAAAAGCUUAGACCAUCAUGGCUACGAAAACUACUGCUACUCAGAAAAUAUGUAAUUCUGGAGCUCCUUAGCGAAAAAGUAGUGCAAAGCAACAUCAGAGCAGUUGCCAAGUGAUCUUCUCUACAGCACCCAUGAACUUCAGCCUUGAACUGAAGAAGACUCAUCAAAUGGUGAGAAAAUAGUGUGGUUGUUGUGACUAUUAAGUUAUUGAGGGGAUGCUCUAUUAUUUUUUUCUUCCUAACAUUGAUUCUGUUAUUUAAUAGGUACUGAAGUUAGAUUUUUGUAGGGUAAUUGCUGGGACCAUAACCUUACUAUCCCCCAGUAUUUCAGCUGUUAAUUUCUCAAGCUUUGCUAUCUUCUUAGCUGUCCUUGACAUUUCAAAAAUAAUUGUUAGUGAUACACUGAAUUCAUUAGCUAAUUUCUUUAUUACUUGCUUUAGCCUUAGUCCUGGGCAUGAGUCCUGUUCACAUGAGUAGUUUUAUCAGAAACACUACUUAGAGGAGUGAAGUUCAGAUGUGUGAAAUUGUUUGGAAGAUUGAAGCUUAAGCUUUGCAGAUAGGUAUGCCUGCAUUUAAAUGAAAUGCUACUGAAAUGAAUGCAUGAGCGAGGGAUCUGGAAAUGCUUUAGCUAGUAGUAAUUUGUUUGCUUUUAUGCUGUUCAAUUUAUUCCUUUUAAGACAGCUUGUUGUAAGCUGUUCAUUUGCUUCUCUAGUUUCCUAGUUUCUGGGAAAUUUUGAAAUCUGAGCUUCAAAACAUUUAUAAAAUUUUAGUAAUGCUCAUAAUUCUCAUGAGAAGAACAAAACAUUAUUUUAUUUAACCAUUUUAUGACAAGGUGACUGGAUCUAUAGAGGAACUAAUUCUAGCUCUAACUCACUGCUUUAAUCAGGUCUUUAAUCUUACUCUAGCGCCCUUCCUUCACUAAGUAAUGAUUCUUGUAUGUAUGGAUUUAUUAAGCAUACAUCUUAAAAACAGGGAGUUUCCUUUUUCACAGCUAUAGAUAAAGGAUGGAAGCAGGGGAUUGACUCUGUGUGUAAGAAUAUAUUUGUUGAGUGUUGAUAUUGGCUUCCUGGUCAUUUAGAUAGGUGACAGCUUAAAAUAGUGGUGCACAGAAUGGUCCGUAGUUCGGGAAACAGAUCACAAUGGUAAGAAGUUCACAGGAUGCUGAGAGAUGCCCCAGACCUUUUUUGGUAUCUCAGAAAGUGGCUCAAUUUCUGUGUUCCUUUUGUAACUGUAUUGUAGAGUAAGGAGUAAAAGGGACAGAACCCUACUUGCAGCUUAUGAUUUGCACAUUUUCUCCUAUCUCUAUGGUUGUUACCAUUGGAAUAUGGGAUAUUAACCCUCUCACAGCUAUUUACCAAACUGGGUUGGGAAGUGCAAGUGUGUUUUAAAUGGGCAGGAGAGAUGGUGAGCCCUUUAUAUGAAUAACUGAACUACACCCUGUGUUAAGAAUUACUUUAGUACUGUUAUCAACCACUGAACUAAUUUAACUUUUGCCAGGGUUAUUUACCAUUUUGUGUACUGAAAAUAAGAUUUGAUACUUAAGCCAGAAAUAAGUAGUAGUUUUCAGGCUGAGUGAGAUAUAACCCAGAGGUAAUUUAUUUUUAAUACAGAUUGAACAAUCUGUUUCUUUUGUCUUUCUCAGCCAUUUUUUCUUUAGUUUUCUUUUUGAGGCCUGAUUAUUGAAUUAACUUCAAGCACUUAAUAAUUUACAUUCUGCUUCAUCAAACAAUUAAUCUUGUACUAAAGUCACAAUACUUGCAUGAGUAUGGCUUUUGAGAGAAGAGUUUGAAUCCACAUUAGUCCCUUGCUCCUUGUACUUGACCUUGCCUAUCUGAUAACCAAUAGGCUGGAUCCAGACCAGUGCCAAAGUGUGAGUCUGCGUGUUAGCAGGAUGGGGAGUUGGGGCUAAGAUUUGAAUGCAUGCUCAUUACUACAGACACAGUGAAUGAUUACAGGAUGAUUUAAAUUUAUUUUCAAAUUUAAGCCUUCUUUAGUUGUUUAGCUGAGCAGAGUUUAGAUGUCCAUAUGCUUAAAGUUAGAUGGUACAGGUUAAGUGGCUUAAAGGUUUUCCUAAAGCAUUUCUGGAGUUGAUGUAAUUCUUUUACUUCAGUAGAAGAAGAGAUAGGCCAACGUCAAACAGUUUUGAAACACCCAUUCUCAUUGCUUUGCUAAGAAAAGAAUUUUGUUUCUUUUAUUCCAUCCCCUUUUUGGUUAAGUCCCUUUCACUUCCCUGACUCUUCUUAUACCCAUUGUUUCCUGCUCUAACCUUUCCUCUAAUGUCCGGUUUUCUAUUAACUUUUCCACACUGACUAUUCUUUGUCUCUCUUCUUUUUACUGGAGUUUUGGAGAGGUCAUUAUACUUUUUCAGCUUCUUUCCUUCUUUCAUCAGUUCCUGGACUCCAAAAACAAAUAAACCCCUCUGAUUUCAACUAUGCCUUUUUGGUGAGAAACACACAAGUCAGAAUGCAGUGCUAGAUCAAUAGAAAGGGUAAGCAGAGCGCUGUGAAUACAAUUUAUAAAAAAGGGAACUGGGACUUGCAUAUCAUUAAAAAUUAUUCCCUAAAUUGGGAUAUCAGGAUCUAGAUCCAGGCAGUAGGAUCAGGAUUUUAAGGUGAUUCUUUAAAAAUCACUAAGCUUAUUCUAAAAAAAAAAAGAAAACCCUACCAAAAAACCCAUAAAAGAAAAGUCCAGGUAUACUGAAUAGGUUCAUUAGACUUCAUGUCACUGUUCUUUUAUUGAGCUAUGUAUCACUGAACUUCUCUUAAGCCUUAGGAGAGACGGCAUGGAAUUGGAAGAGAAGCAGGGAUCUCCAUGAAGGACAGUCAACUACAGUCUUGGUGUGUGGAGGAACAGGUCCUGUUCUCGCUGUUGUUACUCCCACAUAGGCGGACUCUGUAAUUGAUUAUGUGUGGGUAGGGCCCUAUUGAAAUUAAGGAGAUUCUGCAAUAGUGCAGGGUUCUUUUUGUGAAAGUUCAGUUGCAAGAUCAGGACCCUACUGUGACUCCUUACUAUGAAUUCUGUCACUGUAUCAUUGAUUGUGCUGGAACCUGCCUUUUGGGAUAAUGUAAGUCCUGCUUUUCCCCCAAAUGUACUUUAGACAUGAAAUAAUCAUAAAACGUUUCUAAUUAGAAAAUGAAUAUAAUUUACAUGCAUUCUUUUAAUUAUGUUUUUUUGGCAGUACCAAAUAAUAUAUUCCUCAAAACUUCUUAAUGGCACUGAGGCUUUGUGGAUAGUUGGUCACAUGAUGAGAAAAUUCAGCUGUAAGUACACUGAAAUGAUUGAUUUUUUCAAUAGUUAGUCUUUACUGAUGUUGACAAACUAAUAAUGAUAAAAAGGUGAAUCAAGAGGUUUCACUUAUGUCAAUUGACUUCAGUUCUUUUUAGAAAAUAUAUACGACAUAUCCGUUAAGGAUUUCAUUAUUAUUGGGUAAUUCACCAUGUGAACCUGGAAUCCUUCCAUACCGCUAUUAAGUAGAGAGUUUUAAUAUGGGUUUUUUUUCUUUAUUUUCAGAAUAGUAUGUCUCUGACUUGCUCUGUAUUUUCACUCAUAAACUUUCUGAAAUCUAUAAUCUAUGAAAACUGUUUAUAACACCAAUAUUUGCGUAGAUAUUGCAAACCGAUUUACUAACAUAAUUGUCUUGCUGAGUUGAACAUUGAAAUGUUAAUAAAUAUACGCUUAUACUUGUGUCAGUGUAACUUGGUUAAAUUAAACUAAACUGAGCUGGCAUUACGAGUGAAUUUGAUCAUGCAUGCUGAUUAGCUAUAGUCUUAGGCAGGAACUACGUGUUUUAUUGUACCUAAGUACUUUGUGCUUAAUCAAUAAUAAUUACCCGUAUCACAUGUCAGUGGAUUCGCCCAAAAUAGCUAUAAAUAUCUAUGCUUGGAUUAAGGAGGAAGUUCUUUUCCUGUAGCUAUGGGUACAGUCAUUGCUAUGACUCCUAUUUUUAUAUACAAGUGAGCAAAAACUACGUAUAGGUGUUUUCCUUGUAUAACAAAAGGGGUAUUAUAAACUCCAUGCCCUUUGUUAUGAUUCCAUAUUUCCUUUCUCUAAUUCAAAUAAAAGAAUGUUUUCAAUGGGGUCUUAGUAUCUGAAAAAUGGAAGAACUGGAACUGUUACUGAAUUUCUGAAUAAUUAUUAAGGGGCUGUGAAGGUCUAGAGGAGUCGUAUGUAAGGACAAUUAGAGAUUCUUUCCCAUGGAGCAAGGACACAGAUAAUAAUUGGUGAGUAAAGAUUAAGGAGGACAGGAUUAUUUUUUUGCUUGGCACAAGAGCAGCAUGAAAUGGAAGUAAUUUGAAGAAAGAGCAAGACCGAAGAAGAAAUCAUAAACUCAGAUCAAGAGCAGACUAGAGAGUCCAAUUAAAAAAAAAAAAAAACCAAACAAAAACAAACCCCAGAAAAUGGAUGGCAAAAAUAUGCCUGAAAGGAGGACUAAAUGCAUAGCUACUGGUAUUUCUCAUUGCACUGAAUAUAUGGUAGAUUUAAGUUUAAAACUUUCAGUAAGUGUUUUUCUCUAUUUUUUUUUUUCUAUUGGGGGGGAAUAUGUGGGCUUUGAAGAAGACUCAGUGACUAGGUGUGCAUUACCUGUGUAAAUCGGGGAUUCCAACAUGACAGUUAAAACUAAGAACAGAGGACAAUGUUUGCUAAACUGCAAUUACUGCUAAGCCAUAGUUUCUUGUUCAAACACAAAACUUAAUGAUUUUGAAAUGUAUCAUCUUCAACAGUGCUCAAAACACAAUUUAAUUAUCUUCUUUACAAUUUCAAAGUUCUAGUUUAAAAGCUUAACAGUGAGUCUUUUGAGAUUUUGCAAUACAAAAUGAAAUGGAGAUUUUUUUCAAUGUGAAAUGAAAACAAUACUUGAGAACACCGGAUGUUUCAUCUUGCAUAAAACCCCCUUGAUUUUGUUUUUAAAAUGUUUAGACCUAAUGGUUUACUGUUUUCACCUUUUAAUCCUAUUGGCCGUAUUUAUUCUUACUUGCACUAAGUUGGGUAAAAGAAAGAAAUGGAGAGGGAGAUUAGGUGACUGCAGAAAAACCCCAAACAUGGCCCCCUAGCCAUGCCUGCCCUGCCCCAAACCAGAUCAAAAGUCGUCCUCAGAAUAGAUCUAGUUUUGGAGGAGAAAAGGGAGGAAAGUGACAUGCUAGUGAGCGGGGUAUGAGGAGUCCCCUGGAUGUUUCGUAUGUAUCUGAUUUUUUCACUCAUCACCACUGAGAGGCAGAUCACCUAGGUGUGACUGCUUCUCCUUCCUGUGAUGGCAACUUCCCAGUACUUUGAGGGAGAUAAUGUCGGGGCACAGCUCUGUUCUGCCUGUGGUAGUGCUGCUACAAAUAUCAUCCGGAAGAAAAGGAACUCUGAAUUGUCUCCUGCUGUAACCAGCCCUCCACUGCUCACUGCUGCUAACCCCCACUGUUGAGCACCUGAUGUGAUUAUUUCUUUGGUUUAACCCAUGCCAUGAUGCUGUAAAUGACUGAAACUAGGAGAAUAGCAAGAAAGCAGAAAUCAAGAGGAGCAGUCAAUGUUGUGGAAUGUAGGGAGUGGGCAUUUGCUACACAGCUACAGAUUGUGUGGGCUUGGGAAUACUUCAAGAGCUGGAAUACUGAACAACAGCAACAGAAAGUACGUUUCCUGCAGUUGCAAACUGAGGUGAUAGCCCUGGUUCUGUGCAGUAAGAAGGAGGAGCAAAGGAAUGUGCCUGAACAUUGAGCAUGUCAGUUGUUGUAAGUUUAAGUUGUGAGAUCUUUUUCUCUGCUGCUGUUUGUGCUUGGCUUGUAUCAUGACUGUCCUGUCUUCAAGCUGGAUGUAGCAUGGUUUUGUUUGUGUCGAAUGAGGCACCCAUCAUAACGUCACAAACAUUGUUUUUCUUCAACCCUUGAAAGUCAAAACAUGGUAGCAUAGAUAGCUGUAAUAAGUUAGUAAUAAAUGUGAUAUGAAAGAAUUUUCUCACUUCACAGUAUUUAUAGGAAAAACAAUGUUUUAUGUGUUUCAUAUAUCUCCUCCCAUCUUCUUUUCCACUCCUAAGCAGAUCUAACGCAUGAACAUUUUCUUCAAUAGUACCCUCGGUUCUUUAUUUCCAGUUACAACUAUUGGUCUUUUGUUAGUAGGUUUUUUCAAAUUUAGGUUGAGGCCCUCACAAGACCUCUGUGCAUCCCCUAUGAAUGACACCAUCAUGCUGUCGUUUGUUUUACGUCAUCAAAUCUAGGGUAAAUCUGAGUUUUGGGAAUCUUUUUCCAACCCUUUAAGGAUGGUCUUCUCUGUCAGAUGAUUAUAUUUUUUUGUCCAGGUUUUCCACGGAUCAUCUCUUUAUUAGAAAAUCCUUUUUCUUUUGCCUUGACAAAUGCAGUCUUGCCAUGCUCAUUAUCUAGUCAAAGUGCUACUCUACUCUAAAUAUCAGUUUCCAAACUUACUCCUUUGGUAUUUUCAAUUUCCUCCUUCAGUUUAAAGCAAUAAAGAUAAGCUAUCUGUCUUUAUUUUCAAGGCCCAUCAAGACUCCUUCUACCUGAUACCUCUCCUUCAGUAUCAAGAGGUUGACUCUGAUUUUGAUCAACAUAUGAUGCCAGCUUCCAUCAUUUGGUCUUUGUAUUUUCAGACCACACUGGAUAUUUUCUCCUCAGCUGCCUCUCAUGUAUUGGUUGACUUCUUCAUAAACAGAACUGUUUACUGUCUUCCUUCAAAUAUCUUCUUAAAAGUUUUAUGUACUGUGAAGCUUGAAACAAUCCAACUAGACAACAGUUAUAUUGCAGGUAUAUUAAUGCCAACAGUUAUCACAGUAGUACUGUGUCAUUGCAUUUGUAGUCUGCCGUAAUUUCUCUGUUGUCCCUUUAUGUAGAAUUCAAGCACAUCUAAUUUUUGUUGUGUGUUUAUUCAUGGCCCAGCAUAAUGAGAAGUGGUCCAGGGUGAGGGCUCCCAAGAUUUACGGUAAUACAAAUAAAUAAUAAUGAAUACCAACUGGAUGCUGCACUAUAGCUGUUGGAUUCUGCUGUGCCUAAUGUCACAUCGUAUUUAAUGCAGAAGGAAGGUGCUCCAGCUAGAGGCCUCACAAAAAGGGAAAGAAGUGAGUUGCAGCCCCAGAGGCCGCCUCAACUGUCAAACCCAAGUCAAUAGCUACUGGCAUUGUGUCCUGAAAGCAUGCCUCUCUUCUCUUCUUCACAGCAGUAAGAACAGACUCUCCCUCCUCAUAGAAGGAAGUAAAUGCAAAUAUUAGAAAGUUCUGCAGUGUGUGGAAAAGGUUAAAGGACUUUUUAUAUUUCCAUAGUGUCCUGCUCCUUAGUACAUUCCCUUCCUGACACAGCAUCUCUUGGUACAGAAAUCUUGAAUAACUGCAAGCAGUUGUUCCAGCCAUGCUUAGGCAGUCCUUUUUCAAAUGCCAUCUGAUCUCUGUUGAAAAAGAACCUACACUAGUUUUGAUUUGGUAUCUUGGUACAUUGCUAUCUCAUAGUGCUCCGUUUCCAUUGUGCCUUUGAAGGUAAUGAUUCUUCAGAAGAGUGGUAAGCAUGAAUUCCACCAGGAAUUCCUCAGGUAUGUCUCCCUCUUUCUGGAAGUGGGUCUGCAUGUAUAUUCCUUUUCUUUCAAAGGGACACUGAAAUGUCAGUGUAUAGAUUAUACAAAGAUGAUAGAGUGUUUAGUGCCUAGCUGAUACAGAGAUGAUAGAUUGGACUAUGCAGACAAAUGGCACUAUAUAGACCAAAGAAAAUAGUCAAAUAAGUUAAUUCUAUCAGAAUAAACCAGAAAACGUAAUUACAAAUGGUUCUAUAUCUGAAUAGGAGAAGUCUAGUGAGAGCUCUGGACUACUUGAUGGGAUGGAGGCAAUGACUGUGAAAUACUGUGGAAGACUGGAGAGGCUAUACAAUCUGAAAACUUGAUCAUAACAAGAGUUCUCAGUUAUCUAUAUAUAGGCUGGAUAAACUUAACAUGAGGCCACAUUAGGCCAUCAUCCACAGGCUGUAUUUUUAGGUAUGGUCAAGAACUACUUUUUGAGCAAACCAGCUAGAGAAUUCAGAAGAGGGGGGAAGCCCUUGAUUUAGUCUAGAUUGGCACAAAAGAAGUGACUCUAGAAGAGCCAUUCAGUAGUGAUAUAUCAUACUCAAGUUUCUCAUACUUGUAGGAGAGAAAAAGAUCAAGCAAAAAAACCUCCAGCAUUGUUGAAAAAAAGAAGAAUUGCAUACCAAUGAAAUACAGUUUAAAUACAUAGUAAAAGAGACAUGGAGACUUUGAUUUCUGAUUCUAAACCAUUGAAUAAGAAUUGUCCAACACAACUGAACAGUAAAGGAAGUUCCUAGAAAUAAAUAGAGGUUUUUCAAAAAGUGAAAUCCAAGCAAGCAAAGCAGACAGGAGCACAAUUCUGGCAAGUUCAAUGUAGACCUAUUAUAAGACAGAACAAAAAGAUUUUGAAAUGCAACAGGCUAAAAUCCUAAAAGCCAACCCCCUUUUUUUUUUCAAGUGGAGGUGAGUUCCAUAGAUAAUUGUGGAUAAAGAGAAUAUUUAAAGACAAAGCCAUCGCAGAAAGAAACAGAUGAACUCUAUGUGUUUGCAAGGUUUGUUACAGAGUCUAGGGACAUCCCCACAUAGAAGUUGUUCUUUAUAGGGAAUAUUUCAGAUUUGAAAUAUCAAUAAAAUAUUUUUUAACAAAUUGAUUGAAUAACUUUAACAGAUUGCCAGAUAGCAUGUUGUUGAUUUAGUAGCCCUAGAGAAAUUCAGAAAUGAAAUUGGUGAGCCAUGAGCUAUGUUGUAUAUAAUCUAUCGCUUAAAUUAGCCUUGAUAACAGAGGAAUGGAAAGUAAAAAAUGUGACACUAGUUUUAAAAAGGGCUCUAGGGAUGAUUGUGGACUAAUGGAGUAAUAAGUCUGACUACCAUGACAGACAAAAUGCCAGUGAAUGUUAACAUAAUUAAUAGGAACAUGGAUAGGUGUAAUAGGCAACCAUCACUUUGGCUUUUGUACGAGGUAGUUUUGUCUUAGUCCUCUGCUAGUUAUUGAAGGAGUCAACAGAUACACAGGAAAGGGUGACCCAAAGGUUUUAAAAAGCUCCAUAACCAAAGACUGUUAACAAAAUGAAGUGUUGAGUUACUUGGAAUUAUUUGUAGAUUAAUAAAGGGUUACAAGAUAAGGAACAGUAUAGCAACUAAUGGACAGUUUUAACAAUGGCACCUCACAAAGUUUUGUACUGGCAUCUUUGCUGGACCACCUGUUCCUAAAUGGUCUGAAAAAGUGCAGUGAUAAAGAUUGCAGGUGAUAAAAGGAAAAUAUUCAGUUAGAGUCAGACCUAAUGUUGACCCUGAGAAGUUGCAGAAGGAUCUCACAGCAGGCCCUGUGGUGAUCCAGGAGCCAUGGCUGUCACAGAGGCCAGAUAUGGUUGACCCCGCUGUUCAGCCGUAUCGAUCAGCAGGGAGAGGCAGCGG